AAACUCCGUCUCAAAAAAAAAAAAAAAAAAAAAAAAAGGAAAGACAAACUUGUAAAUACAGCAGAUUUAACUUCUCCAAUUGUCCCAGAAAAAGUUAGGCUCCCCCAGGCCUUCAUAGAUAGUUGACUUUAGCACUCAAUAAAUGAUUAUUGAAGGAAUCAACUCUGGGAUCAUGGACAAAUUCAUUAAGGUGAUAACACUGAGCUGGACCUCGAAGCAGUAGUAGAAGCUAUUAUUACUAGUUAAAUUGUUUAGUUCAUCUUUCCCUAUUGUUCAGUGACAGGUCAUUCGUACUUGUUCAUUGUAAACCAGUGUUUCAUAAAUAAAACUUAGGAUUUAAAAAGUUGUAUUAAAAAU
rnacentral:lncRNA from 10 species